rnacentral:rRNA from 1 species
CUACGGGUUGCUCCAGUGGGGAAUAUUGCACAAUGGGCGAAAGCCUGAUGCAGCAACGCCGCGUGGAGGAUGACACAUUUCGGUGCGUAAACUCCUUUUAUAUAAGAAGAUAAUGACGGUAUUAUAUGAAUAAGCACCGGCUAACUCCGUGCCAGCAGCCGCGGUAAUACGGGGGGUGCAAGCGUUACUCGGAAUCACUGGGCGUAAAGAGCAUGUAGGCUGGAUGACAAGUUGGAAGUGAAAUCCUCUGGCUUAACCAUAGAACUGCUUCCAAAACUGUCUUCCUAGAGUAUGGGAGAGGUAGAUGGAAUUUCUGGUGCAGGGGUAAAAUCCGUAGAGAUCAGAAGGAAUACCGAUUGCGAAGGCGAUCUACUGGAACAUUACUGACGCUCAGAUGCGAAAGCGUGGGGAGCAAGCAGGAUUAGAUACCCCCGUAGUC